UUGCAGCCAGUUAAGCCGACCGUGCUCUUUCUCCAUGGGGGCCGGGUGUGCAGCGGCUGCAAACGGCAGCCUCCUCGGUAGCGUACGCGGCCUGCUGCCUGUGCAGGUUGCCCCAAGGGGCCCUGGAGGCAGCC
rnacentral:snoRNA from 1 species